rnacentral:rRNA from 1 species
GUGGGGAAUAUUGGACAAUGGGCGAAAGCCUGAUCCAGCCAUGCCGCGUGUGUGAAGAAGGUCUUCGGAUUGUAAAGCACUUUAAGUUGGGAGGAAGGGCAGUAAGUUAAUACCUUGCUGUUUUGACGUUACCGACAGAAUAAGCACCGGCUAACUUCGUGCCAGCAGCCGCGGUAAUACGAAGGGUGCAAGCGUUAAUCGGAAUUACUGGGCGUAAAGCGCGCGUAGGUGGUUUUGUAAGUUGGAGGUGAAAUCCCCGGGCUCAACCUGGGAACUGCCUCCAAAACUGCAUGACUAGAGUACGGUAGAGGGUAGUGGAAUUUCCUGUGUAGCUGUGAAAUGCGUAGAUAUAGGAAGGAACACCAGUGGCGAAGGCGACUACCUGGACUGAUACUGACACUGAGGUGCGAAAGCGUGGGGAGCAAACAGGAUUAGAUACCCGGGUAGUCC